rnacentral:piRNA from 1 species
CAGACUCUUCUGGGACCCACUUUCAAGAA